UUACUUUUUAGAUGAGGCAACUUUAAGUAAAUAGGCAUAACCCUAGGUAUUGGGCUCCUGAAAAUCCACGCUGGUUAAGGAAAAAUCAUUCUCAGAGUUAUGAAAAGGAACUUUGACAGGAUAGCGUUAUCAUGACUUUUUAGUAAACUUGAUUCCAGCACUGACGGCACUAUUCUGGUGAAAAUAACCGAAAUAGGCCAAACCAAGCGUUAUGAUUUCAACAGAAUGAGGGUGAUUGCUGCUGCUGCACUAUGCUGCGAUUAUUAGAAUAUUGCAAGUGUGGUAGAUGUAUUCGAUAGAUACGACCCGGCCGGUAGAAUGGCGUCAAACGUACGCAUGCAAUUACGGCCACUGAUGGACGUGCCAUGAAUGAAACAUGAAGGGUUCUUCCGGUUUUUGCAGGUGAAGGUUGCCU